rnacentral:piRNA from 2 species
UCACAACCAUCUGUAAUGGGAUCUGAUGCC